CCAGUAUUUAGGCUUCUCAAAGAAAAACAACCGCAGCACAGCUCCUGUGUGUUAACUUUUCAAACCUGCGCUGAAGUACUGCAGCAUCACAUCUCAUUUAUCGCACUACCUGCUGACUCAGCGUUUCCACUAAGAGUGCACAGUCCAGUUAACACAUCAACAGCUGAGUAAAGAUCUUUUAAGGACAGACCUCCCACUCCACCAACACUUGAGAAAUGUUUGGAGAACUGACAGCCACCAGCGUAUAGUUUUUUACUGUAUUUUUCCAUUUGAUUGUACUUUAAUGGAUACCAGGUGGGAUGGAAGUUAAGGACUUUUUCUUCCCUCAAACUGCACUUUAUUUUCUGAUGUCUGGUCGCCUCAGUGAGCGCAGCCUGGACGCUGUGCUGCUGCCAGAGGAGCCUCUUUUUGGAACCACCAUGUACUAAUUUCGCUUUCAGCCAUGCUUGCUGUUGCAGCGGAUAACACUAUGACAUCAAUAUGUCAACAAGUUGAAAUAUCCUGAGUA